rnacentral:lncRNA from 1 species
GACCUCAUUCUGGGCUGCAUCCAGACCUCUCCCUUUCAGGGCCCAGCCCCUCCAGCUCCAGCGACCCCACCUAGGCACACGGAACAUAUGUGGAGGAAACCAGUGUUCAUUUUGUUGAAAGCAGGGGAAUUAGAGAAGGAGGCGAGCUUGAGGAGGGGAGAGGCUAAAGGGAUAAAGCUUCCAACAAUGGCGAUGUUCCUGGAUUUUGAAAUACAAUCAGUGAAUAAACCAGCAGACCAAUUCAGAGCCCAUUUCAGUGGUGCAGGUGAGAGGUGUUAGAGACCUGGACAAGGUGGUGGCAGAUGAAGAUGGAGAGAAGAGAGAUAGGAUCUCGCUAUGUUGCCCAGGCUGACCUCCUGCCUCAUGCAUCCCUCACCAAGCUUAACAGUUUACAAAUGGGAAAUCCACAACAUUGGUCAAGAAGAAAAGGCACCAUGAAUGGGAAGACCGAAGUGCAGACAACCAGCUGGAACAAGGGUGAAAAUAUAGGAGAUUACGAUCCAUUCCUGGGUGGACGGCCAGCGUUCCAUCUUCACUAACACGAUAUAGUUGAAGAGCAUCAGGUAUCCGAUAUACGCCAGCUGUAAGGAGACACAAUACAGUGCUCUGGCUGUUCAGGCCCAGGAGCCCCAGCAUCAGCCAAGGCCACUGCACAGCAGCACAGAGCAGGGUCAGCAAGCAGGACACAGACUUUAUGACAAAAGGAACUUGAAGGUGCUAAACUAACAAAAGAAUUAGAAAAGACAGUAAUACUUGAAGGAUUAUAAUAUGCAAUCUUCCUUUUGACCUGUACAUGUAUCUCUGGGGCUCUGGUGCUUCGUUUAAAUCUAUGUGUCAUGAUGCAUCAUUUCGCCUUGCAGUUACCCAUUUUUGUGUGUUUUCUUGGCUAAAAAGGGAGCCUUGGCUGUCAGUGGCGGCUCUUGCUCAGGCGUGGACCUUAGGUUCUUAAACUAGGGCAGCACAGUGGAUUUUUGCCUCACGAAUGCCAGGCAGAAUAAGUGUCUGUGAGAAGCAAAGGAAGAGGAAGACACAUGUAACACCUGUAAAUUGGUCAAACCAACAUAAAAAUAGCCCAGGCUUAAAGUGCUUCGCUUGUCAGUGCCCUGGGAGGGUCUUACCUGUUUUCAUUUCACCACUUUCCUGUCCUAAUCAAGUUAAGAUAAGAUAUUCCUUCCUGGUGUCUGCUUCAUUGAAACAACACAAGAAAAGACAACACAGUUUACAGAAAGGAAAGGGUCCGUGUGGCCUUUUGUGGACGGGUGUGGGGUUUAAUCCCCAAGAGGCUCUGGCUCGUGGGGUUGAAUCCUGAUGUGACUGGCUGAAUUGCUGGAUGUCUGGGAAGAACUCCCUAGGGUUUGGUGACUGCUCCUGGAAGAUUCAGUUGUGUCAAGGUGAGUGAAGUGCAGGGAAACUGGUGGCUCUUGCAUAAGGGGCUGAGGAGCCUUGAGAGAAGACUCACUCACCUUAAGGGAAAUGGCAGACUAGCUGGGCCUUCCUUACACAAUGCCUCAAGUCAAGUGAGGUACUCACUGGCCUUAGGGGCCUCAGGGGCUGUGAGCAGGAACCAAGAGGGAGUUUAUUAACUAAAAUCUGCUGCACUCUUCAGAGUGGUGUAGCAAAGAAUAGACACAGUGUGGGUGAAAGGAUUGAGGCCUUGAGGGGUCUGGAGGUACUGCAUGACUUUGUAGCUGGGAAGGCAGCUUAGAAGGUGGAGGAAGCUGCAGCCUUGCUGGGGGAUAUGCUGCUUUCUCUACUAAUUCUCUUAUGUUUUGGGACAGGGUCUCACUCUCGUCACCCAGGCUGGAGUGCAGUGGCAUUGUGAUCUCGGCUCAUUGUAGCAUUGACUUCCUGGGCUCAGAUGGAUACCUGAAAUAGGCUCUCAAAACAAGCAGGGUCUAGGAGCCAGUUGGACCCCUGCCUCCUUUCUUCUUGGACCAGAAGAGGACCCAAUCUGCUCCUAGAGAAACUUGCUACGAUGCAGAAGUGAGGUUAUAUGGAAAUGAAGUGUGUCCUACCUUUCAGAAACUUGGGAGAGUAGGAGAGACCAUUUUUGAAAAUCUGGUGAGAAAUACUCUUACAGAGAAAAACACAGCCCAAAGCACAUGGGACCUUCAAUCUGAAAUUGAAUUGUACUGUUAAGCAUGUCUGGUGAUUCAAAAGACUGGCAUACCUUAUUUCCAGUCACUUCCUCGAGGCCUGGGCUUUGUCAAUAUGUGAAGAUGAAUUUUGGAGAAUCAUGUAAACACAAUUGAACAGAUCUGGGGGAUCCAGUCUGAUGGGUUUGCUGAGGCCAAUCCAGUCAGCCACGCAGAAGUGUGCUGGACACACAGGCCCCACCACCCCCCGCCAAAGAGGCAGCCUCCCAACAAGCUGCCAAUGACAUAAGCAAAGCAGCGUGUCUCAAGUGUCUCCAAUCAUAAGAUUCGCCUGGGAAGCUGGUUAAACUAACACAGCCUCUUAGGCUCCUUCCUGAAGACUGGAUUCCAUGGGUCUAUGAUGGGGCUAGAAAUUUGCAUUUCUAACAAAACUCCCUUGUCAUCAUGGACGUUUUAGAGAUAUUGAUACUAUUAUUUCUACUGAUUUCUGCUCUCGGGAGUCUGUAAACUUUUUCUGCAAAUGGCCAACUGGUUAACUUUUAAGGCUUUGUAGAACCGAUAGUCUCUCUCUGUCUCUCACUACUCAUCAACUUGAUGUGGUAGCACAAAAGCAGUCAGUCAGCCUAUUGCUAAUGGUAAAUGAGAUUUAGCCUAAAGCUGCCUCCUUAAGUUCGGCCUGAAGUUUUCUCUGUACAUUGUGAACUAUAACAAAUGAAGGUGUAACAAGACCAAUCACCGAGUUUCGGUCAAUCAAAUGUAGCCAACUGCUCAAACUGUGUUCAAAUAAGGCAAACGCUGAGCUGUAACCAAUCCAGCUGUUUCUGUACCUCACUUCCGUUUUCUGUAUGCCACUUCCCUUUUUCUGUCCAUAAAUCUUCCACCACGUGGCCCUGCCAGAGUCUCUGAGCCUACUCUGGCUUGGAAGACUGCCCAAUUCACGAAUCGUUCAUUUGCUCAAUUAAACUCCUUUAAAUUUA